rnacentral:rRNA from 1 species
UACUACGGGAGGCAGCAGUGGGGAAUAUUGGACAAUGGGGGCAACCCUGAUACCAGCCAUGCCGCGUGUGUGAAGAAGGCCCUCGGGUUGUAAAGCACUUUCAGCGAGGAAGAACGCCAAGCGGUUGAUACCCGCUAGGAAAGACAUCACUCGCAGAAGAAGCACCGGCUAACUCCGUGCCAGCAGCCGCGGUAAUACGGAGGGUGCAAGCGUUAAUCGGAAUUACUGGGCGUAAAGCGCGCGUAGGUGGCUUGAUAAGCCGGUUGUGAAAGCCCCGGGCUCAACCUGGGAACGGCAUCCGGAACUGUCAAGCUAGAGUGCAGGAGAGGAAGGUAGAAUUCCCGGUGUAGCGGUGAAAUGCGUAGAGAUCGGGAGGAAUACCAGUGGCGAAGGCGGCCUUCUGGACUGACACUGACACUGAGGUGCGAAAGCGUGGGUAGCAAACAGGAUUAGAUACCCUGGUAGUCCACGCCGUAAACGAUGUCGACCAGCCGUUGGGUGCCUAGCGCACUUUGUGGCGAAGUUAACGCGAUAAGUCGACCGCCUGGGGAGUACGGCCGCAAGGUUAAAACUCAAAUGAAUUGACGGGGGCCCGCACAAGCGGUGGAGCAUGUGGUUUAAUUCGAUGCAACGCGAAGAACCUUACCUACUCUUGACAUCCUGCGAAUUUGGUAGAGAUACCUUAGUGCCUCCGGGAACGCAGAGACAGGUGCUGCAUGGCUGUCGUCAGCUCGUGUUGUGAAAUGUUGGGUUAAGUCCCGUACGAGCGCAACCCUUGUCCUAUUUGCAGCGCGUAAUGGCGGACUCUAGAGACUGCGUGACACCGGAGAAGUGGGACGACGUCAGUCAUCAUGCCCUUACAGUAGGCUACCACACUGCUUACAAUGUCGGUACAAAGGGUUGUCUGAGCUCCCCCGCGAGUA